UCCAGACUCCUACGGGAGGCAGCAGUGGGGAAUAUUGGACAAUGGGGGGAACCCUGAUCCAGCGACGCCGCGUGAGUGAAGAAGUAUUUCGGUAUGUAAAGCUCUAUCAGCAGGGAAGAAAGAAAUGACGGUACCUGACUAAGAAGCCCCGGCUAACUACGUGCCAGCAGCCGCGUUAAUACGUAGGGGGCAUGCGUUAUCCGGAUUUACUGGGUGUAAAGGGAGCGUAGACGGCGAUGCAAGCCAGAUGUGAAAGCCCGGGGCUCAACCCCGGGACUGCAUUUGGAACUGUGUGGCUGGAGUGUCGGAGAGGCAGGCGGAAUUCCUAGUGUAGCGGUGAAAUGCGUAGAUAUUAGGAGGAACACCAGUGGCGAAGGCGGCUUACUGGACUGUAACUGACGUUGAGGCUCGAAAGCGUGGGGAGCAAACAGGAUUAGAUACCCUUGUAG
rnacentral:rRNA from 1 species